CAAUGAAAUUCGUUCUUCGGAACGAGUGAAAUAUCUUAGAUGUGAAAUAUGCCUGCGGCAUAUGAAAACAAGU
rnacentral:sRNA from 1 species